rnacentral:ncRNA from 2 species
CGCCGAUGGGGGCAACCCCGCCGGUGAUUUAGCAGAAGUCAGCAGGCGGCAUAGCAGCCAAACGCCCAUCGGGAUGGUUGGGACAGGGUGAAGGCC